rnacentral:rRNA from 1 species
GAACUGGUGAGUAACACGUGGGUAACCUGCCCGGAAGCUGGGGAUAACACUUGGAAACAGGUGCUAAUACCGUAUAACAACUGAAACCGCAUGGUUUCAGUUUGAAAGAUGGUUUCGGCUAUCACUUCUGGAUGGACCCGCGGCGUAUUAGCUAGUUGGUGGAGUAAUGGUUCACCAAGGCAAUGAUACGUAGCCGACCUGAGAGGGUAAUCGGCCACAUUGGGACUGAGACACGGCCCAAACUCCUACGGGAGGCAGCAGUAGGGAAUCUUCCACAAUGGACGAAAGUCUGAUGGAGCAACGCCGCGUGAGUGAAGAAGGGUUUCGGCUCGUAAAACUCUGUUGUUGAAGAAGAACACAUCUGAGAGUAACUGUUCAGGUGUUGACGGUAUUUAACCAGAAAGCCACGGCUAACUACGUGCCAGCAGCCGCGGUAAUACGUAGGUGGCAAGCGUUGUCCGGAUUUAUUGGGCGUAAAGCGAGCGCAGGCGGUUUCUUAAGUCUGAUGUGAAAGCCCUCGGCUUAACCGGAGAAGUGCAUCGGAAACUGGGAGACUUGAGUGCAGAAGAGGACAGUGGAACUCCAUGUGUAGCGGUGGAAUGCGUAGAUAUAUGGAAGAACACCAGUGGCGAAGGCGGCUGUCUGGUCUGUAACUGACGCUGAGGCUCGAAAGCAUGGGUAGCGAACAGGAUUAGAUACCCUGGUAGUCCA